GGGUUGUGAGGUUAAGCGACUAAGCGUACACGGUGGAUGCCCUGGCAGUCAGAGGCGAUGAAGGGCGUGCUAAUCUGCGAUAAGCGCCGGUAAGGUGAUAUGAACCGUUAUAACCGGCGAUACCCGAAUGGGGAAACCCAGUGUGAUUCGUCACACUAUCAUUAACUGAAUCCAUAGGUUAAUGAGGCGAACCGGGGGAACUGAAACAUCUAAGUACCCCGAGGAAAAGAAAUCAACCGAGAUUCCCCCAGUAGCGGCGAGCGAACGGGGAGGAGCCCAGAGCCUGAAUCAGCAUGUGUGUUAGUGGAAGCGUCUGGAAAGGCGCGCGAUACAGGGUGACAGCCCCGUACACAAAAGCGCAUGUGCUGUGAGCUCGAUGAGUAGGGCGGGACACGUGAUAUCCUGUCUGAAUAUGGGGGGACCAUCCUCCAAGGCUAAAUACUCCUGACUGACCGAUAGUGAACCAGUACCGUGAGGGAAAGGCGAAAAGAACCCCGGCGAGGGGAGUGAAAAAGAACCUGAAACCGUGUACGUACAAGCAGUGGGAGCACCCUUCGGGGUGUGACUGCGUACCUUUUGUAUAAUGGGUCAGCGACUUAUAUUCUGUAGCAAGGUUAACCGAAUAGGGGAGCCGGAGGGAAACCGAGUCUUAACCGGGCGUUAAGUUGCAGGGUAUAGACCCGAAACCCGGUGAUCUAGCCAUGGGCAGGUUGAAGGUUGGGUAACACUAACUGGAGGACCGAACCGACUAAUGUUGAAAAAUUAGCGGAUGACCUGUGGCUGGGGGUGAAAGGCCAAUCAAACCGGGAGAUAGCUGGUUCUCCCCGAAAGCUAUUUAGGUAGCGCCUCGUGAAUUCAUCUCCGGGGGUAGAGCACUGUUUCGGCUAGGGGGCCAUCCCGGCUUACCAACCCGAUGCAAACUGCGAAUACCGGAGAAUGUUAUCACGGGAGACACACGGCGGGUGCUAACGUCCGUCGUGAAGAGGGAAACAACCCAGACCGCCAGCUAAGGUCCCAAAGUCAUGGUUAAGUGGGAAACGAUGUGGGAAGGCCCAGACAGCCAGGAUGUUGGCUUAGAAGCAGCCAUCAUUUAAAGAAAGCGUAAUAGCUCACUGGUCGAGUCGGCCUGCGCGGAAGAUGUAACGGGGCUAAACCAUGCACCGAAGCUGCGGCAGCGACACUGUGUGUUGUUGGGUAGGGGAGCGUUCUGUAAGCCUGUGAAGGUGUGUCGUGAGGCAUGCUGGAGGUAUCAGAAGUGCGAAUGCUGACAUAAGUAACGAUAAAGCGGGUGAAAAGCCCGCUCGCCGGAAGACCAA
rnacentral:rRNA from 1 species